AAAAAACACGUGAAAGCGAGCCAAUCCUUCCACAUUUUCAAUAAUGAUAAAUCGUACUUGGCAUCGCUUACUUGUCCUGAGCUAGAGAAAUAGAAUGAAUGCACAUCACACAUGGAAAUAAACAGUUUAAACGUUGUACUUUGCAUCACACGCUGAAGGCAUUGCAGAGGAUUUAUUGCAGUUCCAGAACGUCGUGGCAUUUUAGAUCUACACUACAAAAUAUUUCCAUAUUUGAUAUAUCAGACACAACCAUUCCGG